rnacentral:rRNA from 1 species
UCCGGAGCAAGAUCCAACGGCCAGAAUAGCAUCAGGAAAACGAUCGGACGGCCAGGAAGCCCAAAUCACUGAGGAGCCGGGGUUUUCGAUCGGUCUCAUGUUUCUGGAUGUUCUUACAAGGGUGAAACUGCCCUGGUUAUCACUCAUCAGAAAUGACCAUCCAAGGACAGAGCCACUAAAAUAAGAACAUGAUCAAAACGGCUCAAAGAAACGAGGGGGUAUCCAACUUAAUACCCACAAGUGCCUCGAUUGCUCGAGAGCAUGCUUAUAUCAGCCAUAACCGAUCAUCAUAGCCCUGGCUAUGUCCCGUACAGUAGCCGAAGCAGAGGAGCAGGAGGAAGAUGCAGCUCACCGAGGGAGGUUGUAGCCAAGGCAGUACUCAGUGGGUGCCAGAGUUGCGGUUGAACGACGUCCAACCGGCGAGGAACCACUUCCUACACUCCUGAACCGGCAUAAAAAGAAGCAGGAGCUCAUCAUUUCCCAUUGCUCCU